UUUCGUAAACAAAAUAAGAUUACUAAUUUAAAAUAAAAAGAUAGUAAGCAGGUGUAUUUUAAGUCAAAUAGUAAAACUUGGCUCUGAUUUCAGGUAUGGCAUGCACUAAGAAAUACACAUGGUUUUUAUUGAAAGAGGUGAGGUGGAAAGCAAAGUAUUAAGUAAAUUAGUGUAAAACUAUAAUGAUAUGGCUUUCUAGGAUGUUAUAGUAAACAUUAUGUCCUGAAAUACCCACUAACACCAGUGUUGAAGAUUAAGAGAAGAGCGAAAGUUCGUAUUAGCUUAGUGAAUAAAAUUUGGUUAAUUUGGUGCCAGCAUCCGCGGUUAAACCAAGAAGUUUAGUCAUUCUUUUAUGGUAAAAAGAUAGUUAAGCAAAUAUAGAGAAGUCGUUAGACCCUUAGUAUAGGAGUAAAAUCUAGAUACUAAAAGUUACAUGAGAUAUGGCUUAAUUAGGAGUGCUGAGGCUGUGAUAGCUUUAAGGGAAACUGGGAUUGGAUACCCCAUUAUUUUUAGUUGUAAAUUUAGUUUAAUCUUACCAGAGUACUACGAAUAAAAAGUUUAAAACUCAAAGAGCUUGGCGGUGUUUUAGACCUCUCAGGGGAACCUGUCUCAUAAUCGACAAUCCACGUUAAACCUAACCUUUGAUGGCAAUUCAGCCUGUAUACCGUUGUCGUCAGGUAACUUCUUAAAAUACAGUAGUUAGCUUGAGAAUUUUAUUAAUUAGAACGUCAAAUCAAGGUGCAGCUAAUGAAAAGGUGAGGAUGGGUUACAAUUACAUAUUUGUAAGUACGGAAAACAUUUGAAAGAAUGAUUAAAGGAGGACUUGAAAGUAAUUUUGAUUAUAUAAACGAAAUGAAUGAGGCUCUGAAACGUGCACACAUCGCCCGUCGCUCUCGUUGAAAAAUGAGAUAAGUCGUAACAUAGUAGGGGUAAUGGAAAUUGUUCCUAGGCUG
rnacentral:ncRNA from 1 species